rnacentral:lncRNA from 1 species
CUGGUUUGAGGCAGUCUGGGUUUUUUCCAGUCCCUAGUGCAUGUAAAAGUGAAGAUCAAGCUGGACAGAAAGAGGACAGGAUAAAUGGUGAGCUGUUAAAUCUGAAUUCCAUCCUGUUGCUACUGCCAGUGCGUCAGAGAGGCUCAUCCCAUGGUGCCUGACAGAAGGACUGCAGGUGACGUAGUUAUCCUUUUACCUUGUCUGAAGGGGAACCCUGUCCUCAGCUGAGAAUAUCCCAGUACUCUCUGAGAGAAAAAUAAUGGCUUUCAUACUAGAAAUGAACAAAAACGCAGACAUUGGAGGAGUUCUUGUGUUCCAGUGCUGCCUUCUUUUGUGUGAUCCAUAUGGAGUAUAGAGCAAAAGAAGACCUCUUAUCCUGUCAUAGAUCUCCACCUAGCACAGCAUUUAAUAGUGCCUCAGAGGAAGCUCUCACAGGGAAGCCAGGGCGACAUAAAUGGCAGUCGUUCACACGAUGUAGUUUCAAAAUAAAAGGAUG